rnacentral:rRNA from 1 species
GGACCCGCACAAGCAGUGGAGCAUGUGGUUUAAUUCGACGCAACGCGAAGAACCUUACCAGCGUUUGACAUGGGAAGUGCCGGUUACAGAAUGGUAACCUUCAGUUCGGCUGGCUUCCACACAGGUGCUGCAUGGCUGUCGUCAGCUCGUGUCGUGAGAUGUUGGUUAAGUCCCGCAACGAGCGCAACCCUUAUCGUUAGUUACUAACAGUUCGGCUGAGGACUCUAGCGAAACUGCCGGUGAUAAGCCGGAGGAAGGUGGGGAUGACGUCAAGUCCUCAUGGCCCUUACACGCUGGGCUACACACGUGCUACAAUGGUAACUACAACGGGACGCAAUACCGCGAGGUGGAGCA